AGCAGUAGCCGCGGUAAUACGUAGGUGGCAAGCGUUGUCCGGAAUUAUUGGGCGUAAAGGGCUCGCAGGCGGUUUCUUAAGUCUGAUGUGAAAGCCCCCGGCUCAACCGGGGAGGGUCAUUGGAAACUGGGAAACUUGAGUGCAGAAGAGGAGAGUGGAAUUCCACGUGUAGCGGUGAAAUGCGUAGAGAUGUGGAGGAACACCAGUGGCGAAGGCGACUCUCUGGUCUGUAACUGACGCUGAGGAGCGAAAGCGUGGGGAGCAAACAGGAUUAGAUACCCCGGUAGUCCCUGUCUCUUAUAC
rnacentral:rRNA from 1 species